CCCUUAGAUGUUCUGGGCUGCACGCGUGUUACACUGAUACAUUCAACAAGUUUUUCACCUAGACUGAGAGGUCCGGGUAAUCUUUGAAAUUGUAUCGUGCUGGGGAUAGAUGAUUGCAAUUAUUCAUCUUCAACGAGGAAUGCCUAGUAAACGCAAGUCAUCAACUUGCAUUGAAUACGUUACUGCCCUUUGUACACACCGCCCGUCGCUACUACCGAUUGAAUGGUUUAGUGAGUUACACGGAUUGAUGGUCAGUCUUGUUUCGGCAAGAUCUAAUUAUUGAGAAGUGGGGCAAACUUGACUAUUUAGAGGAAGUAAAAGUCGUAACA
rnacentral:rRNA from 1 species